ACAGUGCGUAGGACAGUUGCAUGUUGGGAGUAAGGGCACGAAAUCUCGAGGUAGAAAAAACAAUGAGCGAUGGACACCUGACGAGGUGACCAUACUGCUUAAAGGUAUCCGUAGAUAUGGUGAGGGGAAAUGGACAAAAGUGAAGAAAUGGUACUUCAGAAAAUCGGUUCGAACGGCAGUACAUCUGAAGGAUAAGUGGAGAAACCUACGCAAAGCUUGUGGAGGUCAGGUGUACCUCUCAAAAGUGGAAGACACAAAAUACUAUGUUCCAGCCGUUGGACGAAGAUUUGGUGUGACAGAUCAGAAAGCUAGCUAGGUCAUAGCCGGAUAACUGUUCAGCCUUUAGGCCGGUCCCAUGGUCAUCUGUUAAUAGUCGUACAUAAAUUUGUCAUGUCACUGAGAUAAUCUUUAGAUGAAAAAAUAUUUAACAUAGUGGAUCGUACUUUUACUGACACCAUCUUAGUCUAUUUGGAACAUGAGUGAGAAAUUUAGUGGUUUGUUAA